UGCUGCCAUUGACAGCACUCAAUGCUUCUAAAAGGUCUGUGAAGAAGCGCUUUCGAGCGACCAUACCUAAAAUUCUCCCUGAUCUGAAAAGAGAAGGCCGUCAGAUACCAUGAGGCUGAUAACCCCACUUAUCCUUUGAGAGCGGGGAUCGCGAAAUGAAAGCGAUGAAGGUGCAC
rnacentral:sRNA from 2 species